CUUUUUUCAUAUGAAUCUAUAUUGCAAAGCAGAGGGAACUCUGCCUCGCCUGCACAACAGGCUGCUUCCAGAUGGGUGACUUGUGUAACACUGUAUGAGACACUAAGCUGAGGUUCCAGGCUUGCAGAGGAAAUACAAGAAUAAACCGAGACCAAGAGAGGAGAGGAAGUGUGAGGGUAGCUGAGAACAUCCGCUCUAUUGCUGAGAUCCUCAGCCCUUUGUUGCUUCCUGACUCUUACAGCUGACAGGGGCAGAAGAUGGGGAAAUGCGACAGACUCCAUCAAAGUCACACACUGCUAAUUGCUUAAGCAAGUUCUCUCUUUCUCGUUGAUAACAGCACAAGAAUAGUGCAAGUCUUCUACAGUAUGAGCCAGAGCCAUUGCUCACACCAGCUGAGCAGGAGCUGAGUCCAUCCACCAUCUUGGCAGGACUGGGGGGGUGAAGAACAUGGAACAUAAAAUGAAUGAAAGUGACACACAUCAACACUUCUCCAUCUGUGAAAUGAGGAACAUCUAUAUUUGCUGUUGUGUCAAGGUAAUAGAUGUAUUAGAAAUACCACAGUUAGUCAUUAUUUUGUUCCCAUUUGUAGGCAGCUCCUUAAAUCAAACCGCUGAAGUACAUCUUCCUGUUGCUCUGAGGCACUGUAAUUUGUUGUGUUCAAACACUGUUACUAUUCUAAGCUACCUUGAAAGAAGAAAAAAUACCAUCCUCUCUAACAUUUAGAUUGAUAAAGUUUUACUGGGUAGAAGUUGACUGACUUGUUUGUAAAUGGGAUAAAAUGUACAAGAUUAGACUGUAUUGGGUAGUGUAGUGACUAAUAUCAGUAAGAGUACCUAUAAAAUGCUGCAAUAAUAGAAUUUGGUGGUUGGGUUUUUUUCCUUUUUUUUUUUUUUUUGUAUGUUUGGACGCUACUGAUAUGGCUUUCAGUUACUUAUGAGAAUUAUUAAGUUAGUGGAGAAAUAGGCCAUUGGAUGUUUUUUUUUUGAGGUAUAGAUUAAGACAGUCUUCCACUGAAUCAUAGCAUGGCUGAGGUUGAAAGGGACCUCCUGAGCACAUCUGUUCCAACCCCCUGUUUAAGCAGGGACACCCAGAGCAGGGUGCCAAGGAUCACUCCCAGGCAGCUUCUGAAGAUUAACAAGGAGGAGACUCUACAGCCUCUAUGGGCAGCCUGGGCCAGUGCUUCAUCAGCCGUACAGUAAAGAAGUGCUUCCUGAUGUGUUUCAGUUUGUACUCAUUGCAUUUUGUCCUGGCACUGGGCACCACUGAAAAUAGCUUGAAUCUGUCCUCACUAUACCCUCCCUUUAUUUACAUAUGUUAAUGAGAUCCCCUAUUGGGUUUCUGCAGCAUGUUUUUAGUAGUGGGGGCUGCUGGGGUGGCCGCUGAGAGCAGAGCCCAGUAACUGUUCCAUGCCAGAUCAGAGCAAAACUUCAGCUGUCCAAUGUGGUGUCCAGUGCAGCUUCAUCAGUGCAGAGCAGAGGGCAAGGAUCACCUUCCUCUACCUGCUGGUAACACCUCUUCUAAUGUAGACCAGGAUACCAUUAGGUUUCAAAGACAGAAGCAUAGCUGUGGCUUCACAUAUUCCUGCCAUGUAAGGGACACUCUCUGAAGCAUCUCUUCCCUGCCUUAACUGUUGCAAGUAAUUGCUUGCUAGAGGGAAAAUCUCUGGGACACUUGGUCCUUCAGGCAUAAUGGGUGUUGGCUGUGGACAUAUCCCAAAAUAAAAGUUGUAGAUGAAUGAAGCGUGUCUCUUGU
rnacentral:lncRNA from 1 species